UUUAUUUAGUAUUUAUUGAUUUAGCUUGACAUUGCAAUAAUAGAACAACAGAGGGCAUUUGGUCAAAGAUUACUUUGACAGUUCUUAUUUAAAGUUUUUCUAGUUUGAAGGUCAGAAACUUGUUUGGCGCCACCUGUUGUUGGCUGAUUUGAAAUGAUCAUGUUUGCAACAUGAUUUCUGUUUUGUGAGGAAAAUCUGUGGUUUUCUGGAGCAUCCUUUGUUCCUGAGAGCUGUUUCUACAGUAUUAUGGAGGCACAGAGUUUUCACGGAGUGAAGGGAAGAAGAACGGAAUAAAGCAGUGGAAGGAGUAUUAAGAUAAAAGAUUCGUUCAUCAAAGACAGAGUUGCAUUCCCCUUGAUGGUUAUGACUCUAAAAUAAACUGACACUCCCGUAAAAA
rnacentral:lncRNA from 1 species